AUUGAACGCUGGCGGCAGGCCUAACACAUGCAAGUCGAGCGAGCGGCGGGCGGGUGUGUAAUGUAUGGGGACUGCCCGAUAGAGGGGGAUAACUACAGGAAACGGUAGCUCAUACCGCAUACUCUAGGAUAACGCAUAUGGGGUUAGCUCGUAGGUGGGGUAAUGGCUCACCUAGGCGACGAUCCCUAGCUGGUCUGAGAGGAUGAUCAGCCACACUGGGACUGAGACACGGCCCAGACUCCUACGGAGGCAGCAGUGGGGAAUAUUGCACAAUGGGCGCAAGCCUGAUACAGCCAUGCCGCGUGUAUGAAGAAGGCCCUAGGGUUGUAAAGUACUUUCAGUCGGGAGGCGUUACCGACAGAAGAAGCACCGGCUAACUCCGUGCCAGCAGCCGCGGUAAUAC
rnacentral:rRNA from 1 species